rnacentral:rRNA from 1 species
AUAUCCUACGGGAGGCAGCAGUGGGGAAUUUUGGACAAUGGGCGCAAGCCUGAUCCAGCUAUUCCGCGUGUGGGAUGAAGGCCCUCGGGUUGUAAACCACUUUUGUAGAGAACGAAAAGACACCUUCGAAUAAAGGGUGUUGCUGACGGUACUCUAAGAAUAAGCACCGGCUAACUACGUGCCAGCAGCCGCGGUAAUACGUAGGGUGCGAGCGUUAAUCGGAAUUACUGGGCGUAAAGGGAGCGCAGGCGGUUGAGUAAGACAGGUGCGAAAUCCCCGGACUU